rnacentral:rRNA from 1 species
AGUGAACGCUGGCGGCGUGCUUAACACAUGCAAGUCGAACGAGAACGGGUUAUAGCUUGCUAUAAUUGUCAGCUAAGUGGCGCACGGGUGAGUAAUGUAUAGGUAAUAUGCCUCUUACUAAGGGAUAACAAAUGGAAACGCUUGCUAAUACCUUAUACUCCUUAUUAACAUAAGGUAAUAAGGGAAAGAUUUAUUGGUAAGAGAUUAGCCUGUAUUGUAUCAGUUAGUUGGUGGGGUAAUGGCUUACCAAGACUAUGACACAUAACUGGUUUGAGAGGAUGAUCAGUCACACUGGAACUGAGACACGGUCCAGACUCCUACGGGAGGCAGCAGUGGUGAAUAUUGCACAAUGGACGAAAGUCUGAUGCAGCAACGCCGCGUGGAGGAUGACACAUUUCGGUGCGUAAACUCCUUUUAUAUGAGAAGAUAAUGACGGUAUUAUAUGAAUAAGCACCGGCUAACUCCGUGCCAGCCGCCGCCGUAA